GCAGGCUGUUGGGGGUGGGCCCUGCGCCCUUUCCGGGGAGAGAGUGGCUGUCUUUCCCGCCAUCAUGAUGAGCACCCCACAUAAAGCAGG